ensembl:lncRNA
GGAAGCAAAAUGUCACAAACUUACUGCAGGCUUUCCUGUGACUUUCAGGAAUAUUGACAUCAGAUCCUGCGAAGAGACGCCACUGCAAACUGAACUGUGAAGGGGCGGAGAACAGCAAGGACUCCCGCUCUGACCUGAGGGGAAAAGCACAGUCCUGCCAAGAAUACAAAGAGUGCAGGAUGACAGCAGCUACACUGACCAAUCCCACAUUAAAAGCAUAAGCCUGCUUGCAUUGAGGGAAAAUGGAUUGCCUCUGUGAGAUCAAAACUCCAGUCUCCUGAUGCAAGAGAAAAAGGAAAACCAGGUUUGGAAUGACAUGCAAGUGAGUAAAUUAAUUUUCAUUUAUAGGUCAACUAUUUUUUUAAGCACUGGGCUCGCAGAGCUCCCUUACGUUUUGAUAGAAAACUGCAGAUUCAAAUGUACAGUAAACUUGGAAGUGUGUGGUAAAACUCACAGCCCUAAACAAUGAGCAAUGAGUAUAGCUGAAGAAUCUGUUGUGCAUUAGACAUCCAGGACCAUCAGCUGGCACAUAGACGUUAACAAGAGUCUCUGCAAGGCACGUGUAGCAGUCUUGGGAAGAGCAGUAGUUACACACAUAAAGACAGGUGUCAUACCAACCACAGAAACCAUUAAAAUGAGAUUCUUAUAACCUCUUUUAUCAUACUGGCAUGUUCCUUUAAAAACAAGCAUGAUCUCAUGGCCCUCUCUGCAGAGAAGACCAAUACUGUGCUGUCACACAGACAGGAAUCACUGCAGGGGUUCAGAGGACAGCCAUGAGUCACUGUAAUCAA